rnacentral:lncRNA from 1 species
AGCUGAUAUGCAGAGGCGGAUGUUUGCUGAACUCUUCCUGCAUUGUGACUGUGGGAAGGGCCCUUCAUUGAGUUUGAAGAGAUAGACUUGCCUGAGUUCUGGGGAGAUAUGGAUGAUCAGAAACAUAUAUAUGAAGACUUUGACCUUGGGACAAUAACAGAAGAACCACUCAAAGGAUCAACUGAAGAACAAGAACCAUCCAGAGAGAGAACUCCAGAACAGGAUGUAGACUCAGCUUCCCAAUCAAGGGAAGGUAAUAUCUUAAGAGAAAGUGAAACAUCUAAGGAACACAUUGAAAUCCCUCCACAGAAAGAGCAGACUCAGGAGCAAGCAUAUGAAGAGGCACUAGUCACGAUUUCUGAAGUGCAAGAGGAAGAUCCAGUAUCAAGAACAAAAGAUCACCUUUCAGAACCUGCAAAAAAGGAAGUUCAGAAAGACAAGUUCUGUGAACCCAAGUCCCCAG